rnacentral:rRNA from 1 species
UACAGAGGGGGCAAGCGUUAUUCGGAAUUAUUGGGCGUAAAGGGCGCGUAGGCGGCUUGGCAAGUGGAUGGUGAAAUCCCUCGGCUUAACCGAGGAACUGCCGUCCAAACUGCUUCGCUUGAGACCGGGAGAGGUGAGUGGAAUUCCCAGUGUAGCGGUGAAAUGCGUAGAUAUUGGGAGGAACACCAGUGGCGAAGGCGGCUCACUGGACCGGUACUGACGCUGAGGCGCGACAGCGUGGGGAGCAAACAGG